rnacentral:rRNA from 1 species
CUCCUACGGGAGGCAGCAGUGGGGAAUUUUGGACAAUGGGCGCAAGCCUGAUCCAGCAAUGCCGCGUGCAGGAUGAAGGCCUUCGGGUUGUAAACUGCUUUUGUACGGAACGAAAAGGUUCUCUCUAAUACAGGGGGCAUAUGACGGUACCGUAAGAAUAAGCACCGGCUAACUACGUGCCAGCAGCCGCGGUAAUACGUAGGGUGCGAGCGUUAAUCGGAAUUACUGGGCGUAAAGCGUGCGCAGGCGGUUUUGUAAGACAGAGGUGAAAUCCCCGGGCUCAACCUGGGAACUGCCUUUGUGACUGCAAGGCUGGAGUGCGGCAGAGGGGGAUGGAAUUCCGCGUGUAGCAGUGAAAUGCGUAGAUAUGCGGAGGAACACCGAUGGCGAAGGCAAUCCCCUGGGCCUGCACUGACGCUCAUGCACGAAAGCGUGGGGAGCAAACAGGAUUAGAUACCCUGGUAGUCCACGCCCUAAACGAUGUCAACUGGUUGUUGGGGGUUAAUUCACUCAGUAACGAAGCUAACGCGUGAAGUGACCGC